AGCUCAGUUGGUUAGAGCGGCAGACUCAUAAUCUGAAGGUCGGGGGAUCAUGCCCCUC
rnacentral:tRNA from 1 species